rnacentral:rRNA from 1 species
UACGUAGGGUGCGAGCGUUGUCCGGAAUUAUUGGGCGUAAAGAGCUCGUAGGCGGUUUGUUGCGUCUAUCGUGAAAACCUGCAGCUUAACUGUGGGCUUGCGGUGGAUCCGGGCAGACUUGAGUUCGGUAGGGGAGACUGGAAUUCCUGGUGUAGCGGUGAAAUGCGCAGAUAUCAGGAGGAACACCGGUGGCGAAGGCGGGUCUCUGGGCCGAUACUGACGCUGAGGAGCGAAAGCGUGGGGAGCGAACAGG